UUCGGUAUCGCCUAACGGUUAAGCCGCGUGGUUUUCAACCACGAAAUCGGGGUUCGACUCCCCGUGCCGAAA